UACAGAGGCCACGAGCGUUAGGCGGAAUCACUGGGCUUAAAGCGUGUGUAGGUGGAUGGCUAAGUACCUUGUGAAAUCCCACGGCUCAACCGUGGAACUGCUCGGUAUACUGGUCGUCUUGAGGCACUCAGGGGCGAGCGGAACAGAUGGUGGAGCGGUGAAAUGCGUAGAUAUCAGGAAGAACAUCGGUGGCGAAGGCGCUCUGCUGGACCAUAACUGACACUCAGGGACGAAAGCUAGGGGAGCGAAUGGG
rnacentral:rRNA from 1 species